UGAACAUCAGAUUGAACAGAAUUAACAUUGAGAGCCAAAUAUUUUCUGAAAUCAGACCAAAUGAUGAUGGAUCCUUUCAGCUCAGAUCCAGUGUGAAGGUCGACAGAAACCACAAAGGAUCUUAUGACUGUUUGGUCAUUCACAGCAGCCGGACAGAACCAGUUUCAGAAGAAUGGGAUGGAAAAUGUCUUAACUGUGAACCAGAUUCUCCGCAGGCUGUUACAGCAGGAGUAGCAGUGGCAGCGGCAUUUCUAGUUGUUCUCAUUGUGAUUGGUUACUUCAUCUACAAAAAGAGAUCAUCAAAUGGUCGGUGAAGUUACCAGUGGGAUAUAUAAGAUGAGAAGUUAUGAUUUUACAUUUAUCUUUAAUCAUUUAGCAGACGCUUUUAUCCAAUGCAACUUACAAAUGAGGACAACAGAAGCAAUCAAA